rnacentral:lncRNA from 1 species
UACUCAAGAAGGAAGGGCUGAUCAGAGUUGGGGUAGCCUUCAGUUUUAUGAGGAGGCAGAUCUAACCACUGCAACUGCGGUGCACCUAGGGAUACGACUACUCGGGCCCCGAUGAUCCAUCCCGGAUGAAAUCAGAUGACUUGUCCAUGGAUGAAGUUAUAGCGCGAUUGAGGCACCUGUUCAAGCACGCGAGAGUGAUCCCGACUAUUGUUCGGGAGUUCUGCACCGCGAACACGCCAUGUAGUGUAAGUACCCAUGGCCUUAGCCUCAGAGUACUAAUUUUUGUACUUGUUGAUUUUCUAACUUGUCUUCUCAUGUAGGAGGAUAUUCACUUAUUUUGCUC